UUUUUUUUUUCAAUUAAAUUGCUUAACGCUGCUGUAAACCUAAACAUUGAUUGGUAGACAAAUAUAUACUUUCCUUUAUUCAUGUGAGUGUUGAGCACUUGUGGACUUGAACCUUGCAUCUGCAUAUGUAUGACACGUCAAAUUUUCAAGAGGAGAACUGCCUUACGAAUCAUAUUUUUCUUAUUUACCUUGUUUUUUUGAUAUUCAAGUGAGAUGAUUUUCAUACAAAAGGGAAAAAAAAUGGCAGUAUAAUAUCCUUAAGACAACUUGUGCAACCUCAGAUGGUAAUGAAAGCUUAUGCUGUGCUUUUUGGCAAUUAGCUGAAUGUUUGGGUUGCUUUUUAGUUUUGAACCUGUGGGAAUUGAAAUAAUGUAUUGAUUUGGUUGAUAUUGUUUGAUUCAUGCUCUGAUCUUGUUAAAAUUUUGAAGAGUUGUUGGUUUCCCUUGUUCCUUGUUGUUUACUGGUUGCAAGUUUAGCUAGAAUCUUAUGGCAUAUAUUCUCUUGUUGCCUGCAAAAAAUGACAUGGAGAUGAUAUAAUGUUACUGUCACAUAUAAAACAUGUCGAGAUUGAUGCUAUGAGUUGCAAAGAUCAUAUGAACUGUG
rnacentral:misc_RNA from 1 species